rnacentral:rRNA from 1 species
GACGAACGCUGGCGGCGUGCCUAAUACAUGCAAGUAGAACGCAGUUGCGAACGGGUGAGUAACGAGUAGGUAACUGGCUGGGAGCGGGGGAUAACUACUGGAAACGAUAGCUAAUACCGCAUACUACCAGAUGGAACUGCGUUGUAUUAGCUAGUUGGUGAGGUAACGGCUCACCAAGGGAACGAUACAUAGCCGACCUGGAGGGGUGGUCCGUCCCACUGGGAAUGAGACCCCGCCCAGUCUCCUUCGGGAGGCAGCAAUUGGGAAUCUUCGGCAAUGGGGGGAACCCUGAACGCGGAACGCCGCGUUGUUGGAGAAGGUUUUCGGAUCGUAAAGCUCCGUUGUGAAGGGAGCGGUACUUACCCAGAAAGGGCCGGCUAACUACGUGCCAGCAGCCGCGGUAAUUC